GUUACACACGUUGCUUUAUUCAGUUCCUCCAGAAAAACGUGAUUAUCCGAUCGCAUAAUCCAAUGCACAAUCAGCCAAAGUCUGCAUAUUUAUACGGGGGCCGCAUUUUUUCAAAUACGCCGCACUUUCCCCGCAUAAAUUGCCGAUUUCUGCACAAAAAUAAUGCGGUGCUUGCUUGAUUUAA